rnacentral:rRNA from 1 species
UGGGGAGUAUUGGACAAUGGGGGCAACCCUGAUCCAGCAAUGCCGCGUGAGUGAUGAAGGCCUUAGGGUUGUAAAGCUCUUUCGGCGGGGACGAUGAUGACGGUACCCGCAGAAGAAGCCCCGGCUAACUUCGUGCCAGCAGCCGCGGUAAUACGAAGGGGGCAAGCGUUGUUCGGAUUUACUGGGCGUAAAGGGCGCGCAGGCGGUUCGCCAAGUCAGAUGUGAAAGCCCCGGGCUCAACCUGGGAACUGCAUUUGAGACUGGCGAACUAGAGUUCGGGAGAGGAUGGCGGAAUUCCCAGUGUAGAGGUGAAAUUCGUAGAUAUUGGGAAGAACACCGGUGGCGAAGGCGGCCAUCUGGACCGAGACUGACGCUGAGGCGCGAAAGCGUGGGGAGCAAACAGG